rnacentral:rRNA from 1 species
AGUAGGGUUUUUUGUAACGUAUUUAUAAGCUAUACCCAUGCUUCGAGUUGUUUCAUGCCAUAAAUAAACUCGAACACUCAAAAAAUUUGUUGGUUUCUUUUAUUCUCCUUUAAGAAUUGGAGGAUGAUCAGUAGCUGGUCCAAGAGGAUAAUCAACCACAUUGGGACUGAGACACGACCCAGACUCCUACGGGAGGUAGUAGUGGAUAAUUUUCUGCAAUGUGUGAAAGCCUGGUGGAGCAAUGCCGCAUGGAAGUAGAAGGACCACAAGUCAUAAACUUCUUUUCCUAGAGAAGAAGCAAUGACGGUGUUUGGGGAAUAAGCAUCGACAAAGUCUAUGCCAGCAACCGCAGUAAUACAGAUGAUGCAAGUGUUACUCGAAAUGAUUGAGUGUAAAGCGUUUGUAGGUGGCUUUUUAAGUCCACCGUCAAACCCUAGGGCUCAACUCUAGGUAGGGGAAGAAGGAAUUUUCGGUGGAGCAGUAAAAUGCAUAGAGAUCGGAAACACCAACCACGAAACGACUAUGUUGGGCCGACACUGGCAUCGAGAGACGAAAGAUAGGGGAAAAAUGGGAUUAGAUACCACAGUAGUCCUAGCCGUAAACGAUGGAUACUAGGUUGUGCAUAUUGACCCAUGUAGUAUUGUAGCUAACACAUUAAGUAUCCCGCCUAGGGAGUAUGUUCGCAAGAAUGAAACUCAAAGGAAUUGAAUGGGACUCGCACAAGCGGUGGAGCAUGCGGUUUAAUUCGAUGCAAACCGAAGAACCUUAUUAGGGCUUGAGAUGUCGUGAAUCCUCUUGAAAUAGAGGGUAACCUUCGGGAACAAAGACACAUGUGGUGUAUGGCUGUCAUCAGCUUGUGCCAUAAGGUGUUGGGUUAAGUCCCAUAACGAGCACAACCCUCAUGUUUGAGUUGCCAUCAUUGAGUUUGGAACCCUGAACAGACUUUCGGUGAUAAGCCUAUUCUGAUUCCCCUUGCUUCGAAAGGAUCUCAGAGACCCACCAAAGCAUGAAAGUCAGGAUCUUUUAUAAAAUGUGGGAUGAAGACCAAAUUCGAAUUUCAUUAUGACUUUGAGCGCAUACAAGGUCUCAAGCAAGAAGGUCACUAGAUUCCUUCUUUAUGUUUUAACAGGGUAAGCCAAGUUAUUGUGAGGCUACAACUUCAAGU